rnacentral:rRNA from 1 species
AGUGAACGCUGGCGGUAGGCCUAACACAUGCAAGUCGAACGGCAGCACAGUAAGAGCUUGCUCGUACGGGUGGCGAGUGGCGGACGGGUGAGGAAUACAUCGGAAUCUACUUUUUCGUGGGGGAUAACGUAGGGAAACUUACGCUAAUACCGCAUACGACCUACGGGUGAAAGCAGGGGAUCUUCGGACCUUGCGCGAUUGAAUGAGCCGAUGUCGGAUUAGCUAGUUGGCGGGGUAAAGGCCCACCAAGGCGACGAUCCGUAGCUGGUCUGAGAGGAUGAUCAGCCACACUGGAACUGAGACACGGUCCAGACUCCUACGGGAGGCAGCAGUGGGGAAUAUUGGACAAUGGGCGCAAGCCUGAUCCAGCCAUACUGCGUGGGUGAAGAAGGCCUUCGGGUUGUAAAGCCCUUUUGUUGGGAAAGAAAAGCAGCAGGUUAAUACCCCGCUGUUCUGACGGUACCCAAAGAAUAAGCACCGGCUAACUUUGUG